AUGCACGCUGGCGGCGUGCCUAAUACAUGCAAGUCGAGCGAACAGACGAGGAGCUUGCUCCUCUGACGUUAGCGGCGGACGGGUGAGUAACACGUGGAUAGCCUACCUAUAAGACUGGGAUAACUUCGGGAAACCGGAGCUAAUACCGGAUAAUAUAUUGAACCGCAUGGUUCAAUAGUGAAAGACGGUUUUGCUGUCACUUAUAGAUGGAUCCGCGCCGCAUUAGCUAGUUGGUAAGGUAACGGCUUACCAAGGCAACGAUGCGUAGCCGACCUGAGAGGGUGAUCGGCCACACUGGAACUGAGACACGGUCCAGACUCCUACGGGAGGCAGCAAUAGGGAAUCUUCCGCAAUGGGCGAAAGCUUGACGGAGCAACGCCGCGUGAGUGAUGAAGGUCUUCGGAUCGUAAAACUCUGUUAUUAGGGAAGAACAAAUGUGUAAGUAACUAUGCACGUCUUGACGGUACCUAAUCAGAAAGCCACGGCUAACUACGUG
rnacentral:rRNA from 1 species